rnacentral:rRNA from 1 species
CAGCACCUCAAGUGGUCAGGAUGAUCAUUGGGCCUAAAGCAUCCGUAGCCGGCGCUGUAAGUUUUCGGUUAAAUCUGUACGCUCAACGUACAGGCUGCCGGGAAUACUGCAGCGCUAGGGAGUGGGAGAGGUAGACGGUACUCGGUAGGAAGGGGUAAAAUCCUUUGAUCUAUUGAUGACCACCUGUGGCGAAGGCGGUCUACCAGAACACGUCCGACGGUGAGGGAUGAAAGCUGGGGGAGCAAACCGGAUUAGAUACCCGAGUAGUCC